UACGGAGGGGGCAAGAGUUGUCAGGAUUUACUGGGCGUAAAGGGCGUGCAGGCGGUUUGUUGAGUCCAGGGUGAAAGCUCCCGGCUCAACUGGGAGAGGUCCUUGGAUACUGGCAGACUUGAGGGAGGUAGAGGAGAGUGGAAUUCCCGGUGUAGUGGUGAUAUGCGUAGAUAUCGGGAGGAACACCAGUGGCGAAGGCGGCUCUCUGGGCCUUACCUGACGCUGAGACGCGAAAGCGUGGGGAGCGAACCGG
rnacentral:rRNA from 1 species